UACAGAGGUCUCAAGCGUUGUUCGGAUUCAUUGGGCGUAAAGGGUGCGUAGGCGGCGCGGUAAGUCGGGUGUGAAAUCUCGGAGCUUAACUCCGAAACUGCAUUCGAUACUGCCGUGCUUGAGGACUGGAGAGGAGACUGGAAUUUACGGUGUAGCGGUGAAAUGCGUAGAUAUCGUAAGGAAGACCAGUGGCGAAGGCGGGUCUCUGGGACGUUACUGACGCUGGAGACGCGAAAGCGUGGGGAGCAAACAGG
rnacentral:rRNA from 1 species